rnacentral:tRNA from 1 species
GCCGCGGUGGUGUAAUGGUAGCCACGAGAGAUUUAAAAUCUCUUGUUCGAAAGGACGUGUGGGUUCGAGUCCCACCCGCGGCA